AUUUUAUACCUUUAUAUUUGGCCCAUGUAUUUAAAUAACUUAGAGGGGUUACAGUUAUUAUAUCAUGAUUAGAGAAAAUCAGAAAUAGGAAUAAAUUGUCUUCCUCGGCGUUGGAGAAGAACUCGCUGCGCAGAUUGGGAACGUUCCGAAACUUAGCGAAAAGGGAAGGAACUAUCUUGAAGAUUCGUGGCACAAGGUUCGGCUCUUAAGAUUCGAUUCCGAGUAGGAGCACAUCUCGUGGAGCAAAUUGAGUCCGAGCUUGGAG